rnacentral:rRNA from 1 species
GACGAACGCUGGCGGCGUGCUUAACACAUGCAAGUCGAACGGAAAGGCCCUGCUUUUGUGGGGUGCUCGAGUGGCGAACGGGUGAGUAACACGUGAGUAACCUUCCCUUUACUUUGGGAUAACUUCAGGAAACUGGGGCUAAUACCGGAUAGUAGCUCCUGCUGCAUGGUGGGGGUUGGAUAGUUUCGGCGGUUGGGGAUGGACUCGCGGCUUAUCAGCUUGUUGGUGGGGUAGUGGCUUACCAAGGCUUUGACGGGUAGCCGGCCUGAGAGGGUGACCGGCCACAUUGGGACUGAGAUACGGCCCAGACUCCUACGGGAGGCAGCAGGGGGGAAUAUUGCACAAUGGGCGGAAGCCUGAUGCAGCAACGCCGCGUGCGGGAUGACGGCCUUCGGGUUGUAAACCGCUUUCGCCUGUGACGAAGCGUGAGUGACGGUAAUGGGUAAAGAAGCACCGGCUAACUACGUG